AAAAUAAAAAUCAAAUAUAUGACAUAUAUUAAUUCCAUUUAAAAUACUUAAGGGAAUUUCAUGGUUUAAGUUAAUAAAUAGGAUGAAACAUUAAUCAGAGUUGAAUUCAAAGAGACAAGGAAGUCAUUUUUUAGUACUUGAUUUUCAUAAAUCCCGAACCCUACCACAUAAACUGGAGAGACUGUGGGCGAUUCAAUGUCAGAGGCCGGGACUCUGUGGAGUGAGCCCUGCCAGGGAUUUUUCCACGUACACCUCAAGACGCUAAGGCAGGGAAGACAUGUGGAGACGUCCCUGUUACAUCAGAAUUCCUCCUGAACCCCACAUUUAAAGCAGUGACGGAAUCACCACACCCUGGGCUGAGCAGAGGAGGCACACUGAGGCCGCCGUGGACAUGCGGACAGCUCCUCUGCGGGUGACCCUCUGCCUCUGCGUACCCCAGGGUCUAUGUGAAUGACUGGGUGGAGGUGUGAGGCUGUGCUUAAGAGUUUGGGAACCACACCCAAGACAGAAACCAGGGCAGACACGGUGGCUCACGCCUGUAAUCCCACCACUUUGGGAGGCUGAGGCGGGUGGAUCACCUGAGGUCAGGAGUUCGAGACCAUCCUGGCCAACAUGGUAAAACCCCAUCUCUACUAAAAAUACAAAAAAUUAGCUGGGCGUGGUGGUGGACGCCUGUAAUCCCAGCUACUUGGGAGGCUGCGGCAGGGGAACUGCUUGAACCCGGGAGGUGGAGGGAGCCAGCUGUGGUUGAGAUCUCAGGGGUCUUGGUAAAUCUGGUAAACUCCUUGUGCAGUUCUA
rnacentral:lncRNA from 1 species